CCUCAGCGCGACCCUGGAGCUGGGGGUGUUUUUAAGUUUGGGGCGAGGCCGGUGAAGCCGAGGCGCGGGCGGCAAGGAGCGCUGGAGAGCGACGGGGCUCGGCCUCCGCGGCUGCCCAGGGGCCCGGGGCAUUCCGAGAAGAGAAAAAAAGCUUGUACUUAAAUACUUCCUGCGAAGUUUUGACUGAGACGCUGCAACAAUUCCCGAGCUGUUUCAUCGUGGCACCUUCCUGGUGGCAGGUGGAUUAGCACAUUGUCUGCAACCCAGGAGGACUUGGAGGAAAGUCCCAGCUCUGCUGAUUCUAGCUGAGUAACCUUGGCAAAGGUCACCUCACUUCUCUCUGAGUCUUAUUUUCUCAUCUGUAAAAUGAGGAGGAGGAGGAGGAUCAUCCAAACAUCACGGGACUUCGUUAAAUCAGUGCUUCGGGGCACUUAGCACAGCGCCUGGCGCAAGGUAAGCACUUGAUAAAUGGGA
rnacentral:lncRNA from 1 species